UUCAAUACACUAAAACCCCUGCCCAAACCUUAGCCCAACUACCCAAAACCCAACACUUGACCCAGGCCCAGAAGCCCAAACUCCAGACUUAGGGUUUCAGAAACCUUAGCCUACUCAGCCGCAACCCUCCCCACUUGUACUUAGCCCCAUACACUGCUCCACUAUAGCAGCCCCAUACCCCCACGCGUCUGACACCAUCUGCCGCUGCAUGCUCCUCCUCCACCACCAGCUCCUCCAUACCCUGCAAAGACAGAAGCAGACCAAACAGAAUAGGACAAAAGAUAAACAAUAUUUUCCUAGUUUUGUAGUCGGCUAUAAAGCUGAGAAAUAAGCAUUUGUAAAAGGGGGGGAUUUUUGCUAUGAAAACAAAGAUUUUCUUUCAAUAUUAACAGAUUGAAUACAAGAACCAUUCGAAAAUACAUAUACAAUCAGGGGCUCUAACACCAAAUCAGAGAAUCAAAUCUAAAACCUAAGGUGAC
rnacentral:lncRNA from 1 species